UAAUUUCUCAUUGCAGUCUUUGCAUCAAACAUCCAAAUUUAUUUGGGACAAGUGAGAAGCUUGAUGUGUCAUGGGAUGAGGGCCAGUAUGAUUCUAAUGUUUUACUGGCUUAUAAGAAGACCAAGACCCGAACGGCUAGCUUAACAGUCCUUUGUAGUACGGGUUAUUUUUUUCUCUCUUCUUUUUGUGUUAUUAUCUCGGUUAUGAGUAGGCAUGGAUCUGAAUGAGCCUUCAAGUUCCAAAUGGAGUAGCACAACUAGCAUAAAGUUCAAGCAUGUCCGACCAUUGAAUUGUAAUGGCCGCUCUGUGAGCCGAGAUUUUGAUGGGUUUCCUGUCACUUGCCGGUAAUCUCGAUUUUGAGAACUUAGUUUCCAAAUUUGUUUGACUAAUCUUUUCACAUUGUAAGAUGAUAAUCCUGCGGUGGAAGUCCCCAUGACAGUAUGAUAGUUCAAAUUGUGAUCUUUAAUGUGAAAGAUUAUAUGUGAAACUAGCAGGUAGUUUGUCUUGAAUGCAGUUCAGUCUGCAGAUAGAACAUGGGAUACCAGUUCUAUCUCAGUGGCUAAUAUUCAACAAGUUUAAAUUCGUUGUAUCAAAGGGAGUCAAACUUGGGCCGCAUUUCUCUUGACAAGGUGAUUGAGCAAGAGUGCAUGUAAAAUGUGGGGUGGAAGUGAGUCUGCAUGAAGCAUUUGACAUGAAUUAGAUCUAAUAAUCUUGAAUGAUACCGUAAUCCCAUUUGGAUUUGAUUUCCAUUUCCCUAUUGAAGAAGGUUUCGUAAUGUUUUGGUAAUUAGAUCCCAAUUUAGAUUAGUUUUCCUAAUUAGCGAACCCUCUAUCAUGGCUAUAUGAGGAGAGUUGAUGUACUUGUUUACAGGAACUAGGAUCCGCAACCAAGAUGGAAUAAUAUUCAGUAUUCUACUACAAAGAUGAGCGGGAAUACUCCAGAGAGAGAGUGAGCGGAGAGCAAAACAAUUGUAUUCCACUCAAGGUGUUAGAGUGUGAGAAUAUGUAAGGGAAAAGCGUGUGAGAGAGAGAAGAAAAGAGAUAAGAGAGUUUCCUUAUAUCCUUGUUUUCUUGUUCUUGUGCUUUCUAGUUGUUCAUCGAGCCUUAAACGUAAAGGUUUGAAAAGAAAUUUUAUUGUUCACAUUAUUAAUAUAGUGGAGAUUUGUUGUACUCAGCCGUGGGUGCAGGCGCAUACCUGAAUUUAUCAUUAACUUUUGGGUUCGAGUUAGUUUUUCUCUUUCUUAAACAAUUUCACAGCAGGAACUUCAUUAGUUCCACUUGGUGAUUCAGAAGCACAAGCCUGCGUAUCUACGUGCUUUGUAUAACUUAUGGAUAAUUGAACCUUGUUGUAUCUGUGAUUCCCAUACUUUUUCCUCAGACAGAAUGACAGGUGGUUCCACUGUAGGGGACAUGGCUCCUUACCAAGCAUUUGCAGUUGGAGGUCUUGGCAGUGUAUGAGGUUACAGUGAAGGAGCAGUGGGAUCUACUAUUUAGAACAAGAUGGUGGAAGGUUCUGUUUUCUUGGACUUUGAAACUGAUUUGGGGUCUUCUCAUCAUGUCCCUAAAAACAGUCUAUUUUGGCAUCAGCAACCUCGCUUCAUGAGUGCAACAAGACCGAAGAAGCUGAAGAUUUCACACUUUUUCCGUCUUCAUAUCCUCUUUUCUAGCCACAGAGCAAUGAGGCAGCAUGUGUACCCCCAUGGCAUUCGUUACUGAUCGAGUUUUGGCUUCUGCAGAAUGUUCAAGCUACAGCUAUCCAAGUUGUUCCUCUCCCCAGUUCAGGUUCUGAUUAUUCUUUAACACAUACCGAACAUUUCUUUUUUGAUUCGGAAAAGGAAUUUGUUUGUGCAAAUAUACAUCACCCAGUUAUAGAAGAUCGUUUAAUGCGUAUUAAUUUUCUUUGUGAUCUCGUGCUAUGAAAAUUUGUAUGGAAAGAUUUCAUCUGAAGAAGAGGUAAUGAAGUUGUUCAUUUUGAUUGUA